GCCAGACUCCUACGGGAGGCAGCAGUGAGGAAUAUUGGUCAAUGGUCGGGAGACUGAACCAGCCAAGCCGCGUGAGGGAGGAAGGUACAGAGUAUCGUAAACCUCUUUUGUCAGGGAACAAAGGCGGGGACGUGUCCCCGGAUGAGUGUACCUGAUUAAGAAGCCCCGGCUAACUACGUGCCAGCAGCCGCGGUAAUACGUAGGGGGCAAGCGUUAUCCGGAUUUACUGGGUGUAAAGGGAGCGUAGACGGCAGCGCAAGUCUGAAGUGAAAUGCCGGGGCUUAACCCCGGAACUGCUUUGGAAACUGUGCAGCUAGAGUGCAGGAGAGGUAAGUGGAAUUCCUAGUGUAGCGGUGAAAUGCGUAGAUAUUAGGAGGAACACCAGUGGCGAAGGCGGCCUACUGGACUGUAACUGACGUUGAGGCUCGAAAGCGUGGGGAGCAAACAGGAUUAGAUACCCCAGUA
rnacentral:rRNA from 1 species